AUUCCUACGGGAGGCAGCAGUGAGGAAUUUUCCACAAUGGGCGAAAGCCUGAUGGAGCAACACCGCGUGUAGGAUGACGGCCUUCGGGUUGUAAACUACUUUUCUUUGGGAACAACAAAAUGAGCGUACCAAAGGAAUAAGUCGCGGCUAAUCUCGUGCCAGCAGCCGCGGUAAUACGAGAGCGACGAACGUUAUCCGGAAUUACUGGGCGUAAAGCGUCUGUAGGGGGAUAUUCAGGUCGGGUGUAAAAGGCUACGGCUCAACCGCAGCACAGCAUCCGAAACCGUUUAUCUAGAAGAUGGUAGGGGCAAGUGGAACUCCAGGAGUAGGGGUAAAAUCCGUAGAUACCUGGAAGAACACCAAUAGCGAAGGCAACUUGCUGGGCCAUUCUUGACCCUGAGAGACGAAAGCGUGGGGAGCAAACGGGAUUAGAUACCCCGGUAGUCCACGCCCUAAACGAUGGAUACUAGAUGUAUGCGGUCUCGACCCCGUAUGCGUCGCAGCUAACGCAAUAAGUAUCCCGCCUGGGGAGUACGGCCGCAAGGCUAAAACUCAAAGGAAUUGACGGGGACCCACACAAGCGGUGGAGCAUGUGGUUUAAUUCGACACUAAGCGAAGAACCUUACCCAGGCUUGACAUCCUCGGAACCCUCUGGAAACAGAGGGGUGCCCGCAAGGGAGCCGAGUGACAGGUGCUGCAUGGUCGUCGUCAGCUCGUGUCGUGAGAUGUUGGGUUAAGUCCCGCAACGAGCGCAACCCUCGUCGAUAGUUGGAUUUUUCUAUCGAGACUGCCCGGUACAACCGGGAGGAAGGUGGGGAUGACGUCAGAUCAGCAUGGCCUUUAUGCCUGGGGCCACACACGUGCUACAAUGGCAAGGACAGCGGGAAGCGAAGUCGUAAGAUGGAGCCAAUCCCUUAAAACUUGCCUCAGUUCGGAUUGAGGGCUGAAACUCGCCCUCAUGAAGUUGGAAUCGCUAGUAACCGCCGGUCAGCUACACGGCGGUGAAUAUGUUCCUGGGCCUUGUACACACCGCC
rnacentral:rRNA from 1 species